GGGUACGUCUUAUGUAGCCAGCGUGGCAAACAAGAAGGCGGUCGCAGCGCGACACGUGUCUCGUGGGACCCACGAUUUCAGAGGCGCCCAUUUUGAAAAUUUUCCUGUACUGUAGCUCUGCCGCGGGUUCUUUUAUUGCGCCUCUCUCUCUACACUCGCUCUCUCUCCCCGAACGAACUCCCGAGGAACUCUCUCUCUCUGCCCUCGCUUUUUCCGACCGGCGAACCACCGCGAGCAACCGACAAACCAGGAUACCGGCGAGACGACCGCGAGCGACCAACCGGCGUGCGACCUUCCUCUCUGCCCUCCCUCUUUCCGGCCGGCGAACCACUGCGAGCAACCGACGAACGAGGAGGAUACCGGCGAGACGACUGCGAGCAACCUCCCUCUCUCUGCCCUCCCUCGCUUUUUCCGACCGGCGAACCACCGCGCCACCCCCUCCGGCUCCGGAUC
rnacentral:lncRNA from 1 species